rnacentral:rRNA from 1 species
AUUGAACGCUGGCGGCAGGCCUAACACAUGCAAGUCGAGCGGAUGAGGGGAGCUUGCUCCCUGAUUUAGCGGCGGACGGGUGAGUAAUGCCUAGGAAUCUGCCUGGUAGUGGGGGAUAACGUUCCGAAAGGAACGCUAAUACCGCAUACGUCCUACGGGAGAAAGCAGGGGACCUUCGGGCCUUGCGCUAUCAGAUUAGCCUAGGUCGGAUUAGCUAGUUGGUGAGGUAAUGGCUCACCAAGGCGACGAUCCGUAACUGGUCUGAGAGGAUGAUCAGUCACACUGGAACUGAGACACGGUCCAGACUCCUACGGGAGGCAGCAGUGAGGAAUAUUGGACAAUGGGCGAAAGCCUGAUCCAGCCAUGCCGCGUGUGUGAAGAAGGUCUUCGGAUUGUAAAGCACUUUAAGUUGGGAGGAAGGGCUGCUGGUUAAUACCCUGCAGUUUUGACGUUACCAACAGAAUAAGCACCGGCUAACUUCGUG